rnacentral:misc_RNA from 1 species
GUUUGCAUAGAAAACAUCUCCUGUUAUCCAAGUGACUUGAUCUACCCAUGAGUCUGAUUUAGAGGGACGCCCUGAUCUGCUCAGACUUAUGACCUCUAUACCCUCUGACACUGCGGCCUUGCAUAUUGCAGAGCCAACAAAGCCGCUGCCUCCUAUAACUACAAUUCGUUCAGUCUUAACAUCUGCUACAACAUCAAUUGCAUCCGAGUUAGGAUCCCCUCUGACAGCUUCGGCAUAACUGCUUUUAAUACAAAGUCGGCAAGAACGAGAGCGAGAGACUUGUGAAUGACUGUAACUGCGCAAAGUCGUAGGAAAGAGAGCUCUACUACUAGUGCUGCUAAGAGAAGGAGCUGAUGUAACUUUGCAAAUGGCACCGAUGUUUGAGAAAGUCGCCAUAGUUUUCUCUUCCACAGUUCACAGAGAUGAGAUUGAGAAGUUAUCUAAUCAAUGGAAGAAAAUGAAUAGCAAAGGCAAUAGUUG